UGCAAGUCGCACGAGAAGGGACUUCGGUCUCGAGUAAAGUGGCGCACGGGUGAGUAACACGUAGCUAACAUACCCUCACGCUGGGGAUAACUCCGGGAAACCGGAGCUAAUACCGAAUGAGCUGCGCAGAUCUUUGGAUCUGUUCGGCAAAGCCUUCGGGCGCGUGAGAAUUGGGCUGCGGCCGAUUAGCUAGUUGGUGGGGUAAUGGCCCACCAAGGCUUCGAUCGGUAGCUGGUCUGAGAGGACGAUCAGCCACACUGGAACUGGAACACGGUCCAGACUCCCACGGGAGGCAGCAGUUGGGAAUUUUGGACAAUGGGGGCAACCCUGAUCCAGCAAUCCCGCGUGAGUGACGAAGGCCUUCGGGUCGUAAAGCUCUUUUAGCAGGGACGAAGGGAAACUUGACGGUACCUGCAGAAAAAGCACCGGCUAACUACGUGCCAGCAGCCGCGGUAAUACGUAGGGUGCAAGCGUUGUUCGGAAUCAUUGGGCGUAAAGCGCGUGUAGGCGGUUCGCUAAGUCUGGUGUGAAAGCCCGAGGCUUAACUUCGGAAGUGCACUGGAUACUGG
rnacentral:rRNA from 1 species